AUUGAACGCUGGCGGCAGGCCUAACACAUGCAAGUCGAGCGCGCGGCGGACGGGGGAGUAAUGUCUGGGAAAAUGCCUCCGGGAGGGGGGGAACUCCUGGAGACGGUGGCGAAUAUCGCAUACCCUCAGGUGUGCCCACAUGGGAGUAGCUAGUGGGUGGGGUAACGGCUCACCUAGGCGACGAUCCCUAGCUGGUCUGAGAGGAUGACCCGCCACACUGGAACUGAGACACGGUCCAGACUCCUACGGGAGGCAGCAGUGGGGAAUAUUGCACAAUGGGCGCAAGCCUGAUGCAGCCAUGCCGCGUGUGUGAAGAAGGCCUUCGGGUUGUAAAGCACUUUCAGCGGGGAGGCGUUACCCGCAGAAGAAGCACCGGCUAACUCCGUGCCAGCAGCCGCGGUAAUUC
rnacentral:rRNA from 1 species